rnacentral:rRNA from 1 species
UUAGUCCUACGGGAGGCAGCAGUGAGGAAUAUUGGUCAAUGGGCGGAAGCCUGAACCAGCCACGUCGCGUGAGGGAAGAAGGCCCUGCGGGUCGCAGACCUCUUUGGACGGGGAGCAAGGCCGCCGACGUGUCGGCGGAAGGAGAGUACCCGUAGAACAAGCAUCGGCUAACUCCGUGCCAGCAGCCGCGGUAAUACGGAGGAUCCGAGCGUUAUCCGGAUUCAUUGGGUUUAAAGGGCGCGUAGGUUGUUUUAUAAGUUAGCUGUGAAAUACCGAUGCUCAACAUCGGGGCUGCCGCUAAUACG